rnacentral:rRNA from 1 species
UGUAGUCAAUUAUGUUGUCUCAAAGAUUAAGCCAUGCAUGUCUAAGUAUAAGCACUUUAUACUGUGAAACUGCGAAUGGCUCAUUAAAUCAGUUAUCGUUUAUUUGAUAGUACCUUACUACAUGGAUACCUGUGGUAAUUCUAGAGCUAAUACAUGCUAAAAACCCCGACUUCAGGAAGGGGUGUAUUUAUUAGAUAAAAAACCAACGCCCUUCGGGGCUCCUUGGUGAAUCAUAAUAACUUAACGAAUCGCAUGGCCUUGCGCCGGCGAUGGUUCAUUCAAAUUUCUGCCCUAUCAACUUUCGAUGGUAGGAUAGUGGCCUACCAUGGUGGCAACGGGUAACGGGGAAUUAGGGUUCGAUUCCGGAGAGGGAGCCUGAGAAACGGCUACCACAUCCAAGGAAGGCAGCAGGCGCGCAAAUUACCCAAUCCCGAUACGGGGAGGUAGUGACAAUAAAUACUGAUACGGGGCUCUUUCGGGUCUCGUAAUUGGAAUGAGAACAAUUUAAAUCCCUUAACGAGGAACAAUUGGAGGGCAAGUCUGUGCCCCACCAAGCCAAA